CUUAAUUUAUUAACUCACACACAUAUCGGCACAUACGCCGGGGUGCCCUUGAAGGGUCGGAUGUAUGGGAUAUGUGGAGGCCUAAC
rnacentral:sRNA from 20 species